GUGGGGUAAUGGCCUACCAAGGCUUCGACGGGUAGCCGGCCUGAGAGGGUGACCGGCCACGCUGGGACUGAGACACGGCCCAGACUCCUACGGGAGGCAGCAGUGGGGAAUAUUGGACAAUGGGCGGAAGCCUGAUCCAGCAACGCCGCGUGAGGGAUGACGGCCUUCGGGUUGUAAACCUCUUUCAGUAGGGACGAAGCGCAAGUGACGGUACCUACAGAAGAAGCACCGGCCAACUACGUGCCAGCAGCCGCGGUAAUACGUAGGGUGCGAGCGUUGUCCGGGAUUAUUGGGCGUAAAGGGCUCGUAGGCGGUUUGUCGCGUCGGGAGUGAAAACACUGGUCUUAACUCAGUGCUUGCUUCCGAUACGGGCAGACUAGAGGUAUUCAGGGGAGAACGGAAUUCCUGGUGUAGCGGUGAAAUGCGCAGAUAUCAGGAGGAACACCGGUGGCGAAGGCGGUUCUCUGGGAAUUACCUGACGCUGAGGAGCGAAAGUGUGGGGAGCGAACAGGAUUAGAUACCCUAGUAGUCCACACCGUAAACGUUGGGCGCUAGGUGUGGGGUCCAUUCCACGGAUUCCGUGCCGCAGCUAACGCAUUAAGCG
rnacentral:rRNA from 1 species